UACGGGGGGUGCGAGCGUUGUCCGGAAUCACUGGGCGUAAAGGGCGCGUAGGUGGUUUGAUAAGGGUGUGGUGAAAGUCCGGGGCUCAACCCCGGAUCUGCCGUGCCGACUGUCAAACUCGAGGACUGUAGAGGCAGAUGGAAUUCCGGGUGUAGCGGUGGAAUGCGUAGAGAUCCGGAAGAACACCGGUGGCGAAGGCGGUCUGCUGGGGUAAUGCUGACACUGAUGCGCGACAGCGUGGGGAGCAAACAGGG
rnacentral:rRNA from 1 species